rnacentral:rRNA from 1 species
AUUGAACGCUGGCGGCAUGCUUUACACAUGCAAGUCGAACGGUAACAGGGAGCUUGCUCCGCUGACGAGUGGCGAACGGGUGAGUAAUGCAUCGGAACGUGCCUAUUUGUGGGGGAUAACGUAGCGAAAGUUACGCUAAUACCGCAUACGAUCUGAGGAUGAAAGCGGGGGACCGGUAAGGCCUCGCGCGAUUAGAGCGGCCGAUAUCUGAUUAGCUUGUUGGUGGGGUAAAGCCACCAAGGCGACGAUCAGUAGCUGGUCUGAGAGGACGAUCAGCCACACUGGGACUGAGACACGGCCCAGACUCCUACGGGAGGCAGCAGUGGGGGAAUUUUGGACAAUGGGGGGCAACCCUGAUCCAGCAAUGCCGCGUGAGUGAAGAAGGCCUUCGGUGUAAGGACUCUUUUGUUCAGGGAAGAAACAGCAGCUCUAACACAGUCUGCGAAUGACGGUACCUGAAGAAUAAG